AACUUUUGGCAACGGAUCACUUGGCUCUCGCAUCGUUGAAGAACGCAGCGAAAUGCGAUAAGUAAUGUGAAUUGCAGAAUUCAGUGAAUCAGCGAAUCUUUGAACGAACCUUGCGCCCUUUGGCUAUUCCGAGGGGCAUGCCUGUUUGAGUAUCAUGAACACCUCAUCUCUCAUGGUCUGCCGUGAUGAGCUUGGACUUUGGGGGUCUUGCCGGCCCAGCGUCGGCUCCUCUAAAAUGGAUCAGCUUGCCAGGGUUUGGUGGCGUCACAGGUGUGAUAACUAUCUACGCUUGUGGUUCCCCGCCAUGUAACCUUUAGCGAUGGAGGCUCACUGGAGCUCACAGACGUCUCUCUUCGGUGAGGACAGCUCUUUGAACGUUUGAUCUCAAAUCAGGUAGGACUACCCGCUGAACUUAAGCAUAUCAAUAAGCGGAGGCU
rnacentral:misc_RNA from 1 species